AACCAUUCUCACCUGCGGCUAGACCUGCGGAAGGAUCAUUACACAAUAAACAUAUGAAGGCUGCACCGCCAACAGGCGGCAAGGCUGGAGUAUUUUAUUACCCUUGUCUUUUGCGCACUUGUUGUUUCCUGGGCGGGUUCGCCCGCCUCCAGGACCACAUGAUAAACCUUUUUUAUGCAGUUGCAAUCAGCGUCAGUACAACAAAUGUAAAUCAUUUACAACUUUUAGCAAUGGAUCUCA
rnacentral:misc_RNA from 1 species